UACGAAGGGGGGCUAGCGUUGCUCGGAAUCACUGGGCGUAAAGGGUGCGUAGGCGGGUCUUUUAAGUCAGGGGUGAAAUCCUGGAGCUCAACUCCAGAACUGCCUUUGAUACUGAGGAUCUUGAGUACGGGAGAGGUGAGUGGAACUGCGAGUGUAGAGGUGAAAUUCGUAGAUAUUCGCAAGAACACCAGUGGCGAAGGCGGCUCACUGGUCCGGUACUGACGCUGAGGUGCGAAAGCGUGGGGAGCAAACAGG
rnacentral:rRNA from 1 species